UACGUAGGGGGCAAGCGUUGUCCGGAUUUAUUGGGCGUAAAGAGCGUGUAGGCGGCCAUGUAGGUCCGUUGUGAAAACUCGAGGCUCAACCUCGAGACGCCGAUGGAAACCAUGUGGCUAGAGUCCGGAAGAGGAGAGUGGAAUUCCUGGUGUAGCGGUGAAAUGCGCAGAUAUCAGGAAGAACACCCGUGGCGAAGGCGGCUCUCUGGGACGGUACUGACGCUGAGACGCGAAAGUGUGGGGAGCGAACAGG
rnacentral:rRNA from 1 species